GUUUGAUCCUGGCUCAGGACGAACGCUGGCGGCGUGCCUAAUACAUGCAAGUCGAGCGAGCCGAACUAAUUGAUUACCUUCGGGUAUGAAGUUAGGGAAGCGAGCGGCGGAUGGGUGAGUAACACGUGGGUAACCUACCCUAUAGUCCGGGAUACCACUUGGAAACAGGUGCUAAUACCGGAUAAAAGGAGAGAUCACAUGAUUUCUUUUUGAAAGGCGGCGUAAGCUGUCGCUAAAGGAUGGACCCGCGGUGCAUUAGCUAGUUGGUAAGGUAACGGCUUACCAAGGCAACGAUGCAUAGCCGAGUUGAGAGACUGAUCGGCCACAUUGGGACUGAGACACGGCCCAAACUCCUUACGGGAGAGGGCAGCAGUUAGGGAUCUCCAACAUGACGCAAGUCUGAUGGAGCAACGCCGGCGUGAGUGAAGAAGGUUUUCGGAUCGUAAAGCUCUGUUGUUGGUGAAGAAAGAUAGUGAGAGUAACUGCUCAUUAUUUGCCGGUAAUCAACCAGAAAGUCACGGCUAACUACGUGCCAGCAGCCGCGGUAAUACGUAGGUGGCAAGCGUUGUCCGGAUUUAUUGGGCGUAAAGCGAGCGCAGGCGGAAAGAUAAGUCAGAUGUGAAAGCCCUCGGCUUAACCGAGGAAUAGCAUCGGAAACUGUCUUUCUUGAGUGCAGAAGAGGAGAGUGGAACUCCAUGUGUAGCGGUGGAAUGCGUAGAUAUAUGGAAGAACACCAGUGGCGAAGGCGGCUCUCUGGUCUGUAACUGACGCUGAGGCUCGAAAGCAUGGGUAGCGAACAGGAUUAGAUACCCUGGUAGUCCAUGCUGUAAACGAUGAGUGCUAAGUGUUGGGAGGUUUCCGCCUCCCAGUGCUGCAGCUAACGCAUUAAGCACUCCGCCUGGGGAGUACGACCGCAAGGUCAAAACUCAAAGGAAUUGACGGGGGCCCGCACAAGCGGUGGAGCAUGGUGGUUUAAUUCGAAGCAACGCGAAGAACCUUACCAGGUCUUGACAUCUAGUGCCAACCUAAGAGAUUAGGCGUUCCCUUCGGGGACACUAAGACAGGUGGUGCAUGGCUGUCGUCAGCUCGUGUCGUGAGAAUGUUGGGUUAAGUCCCGCACGAGCGCAACCCUUAUUAUUAGUUGCCAGCAUUAAGUUGGGCACCUCUAAUGAGACUGCCGGUGACAAACCGAGAAGUGGAUGACGUCAAGUCAUCAUGCCCCUUAUGACCUGGGCUACACACGUGCUACAAUGGGCAGUACAACGAGGAGCGAACUUGUGAAGGCAAGCGAAUCUCCGAAAGCUGUUCUCAGUUCGGACUGUAGGCUGCAACUCGCCUACACGAAGCUGGAAUCGCUAGUAAUCGCGGAUCAGCACGCCGCGGUGAAUACGUUC
rnacentral:rRNA from 1 species